UACAGAGGUCCCGAGCGUUGUUCGGAUUCACUGGGCGUAAAGGGUGCGUAGGUGGUGGGGUAAGUCUCGUGUGAAAGCUCGCAGCUUAACUGCGAAAAGUCACGGGAUACUAUUCCGCUGGAGGCUUGGAGGGGGGACUGGAAUACUUGGUGUAGCAGUGAAAUGCGUAGAUAUCAAGUGGAACACCAGUGGCGAAGGCGAGUCCCUGGACAAGACCUGACACUGAGGCACGAAAGCCAGGGGAGCAAACAGG
rnacentral:rRNA from 2 species